rnacentral:sRNA from 1 species
GCGGGCCCUCGAAGGCCCAGGCCAGUCGUGCCCUGGCAGCGGGCGAAGCCACGUGGACUGGGCUGAGCUAGGCCAUGGUGCUCAUCUGCCAUCGCAGGCCUAGAACUGUAGGCAUGCAGCAGUGAGUUCCGGCCUUCGGUGUGCGAGGGUUAAAGGGCAUGGAAGAGUGAACCUGUGAGGAAAAGGAAUUCAGUUUCCAUAAUGUUACCACAUUGUUUUUUGAAAGUACUCAGGGAAGGAGGCCCUUAGAGCUGGGGCUGCAGAACGGACUUCAGAGGCCUAGAAGCAGGAGAGGUGCAAGAUCCAUCAGAACAAGAGAGGGGUAACACAGCAGGAGCUGGGGACAGAACCCAGGGCCUUGCGCCUGCUAGGCAAGCGCUCUACCACUGAGCUAAAUCCCCAAGCCCCGGAAUUUUUGAUUCUUGGUUGGUGAGAAACUUCAGUAGACUCUGGAGUCCUUUUCCCUCCCAUGCUCCAUAUCUGGCUUCACUAGAAUACUGACCUGUCUCUGCUCUCUUGACUCACUCUCCACACCUCCCUAUUGUUUCUUAGAGCUUUGCUUCCACUAACCGAUAAUGAAUGUUUCAUACCUCUCUUACAUGCUGUGUAUUCAACUCUGGGGACACUCAUAGUACUCACUUUCCUUAUGUGAGGUCAUGCUGGACACCAACCCCUUAUUGAUUGUAAUGGAUAGCAUUUUCCAGCUUCCAUCCAACAAUACUUUUGUCUUUGCCCAUGCAGUUUGGAGGCAGAAUUAAUUCUAUCCUCCCAAACAGCUCCAAAUUGGUCCCUGUAGGGCUUGAAGUGAGUAUUAACUACCAGGAGACUUCCCAAGUGAGACACAAGAACAGAGUUCAAUGCAAACACAAGAGGCUUAUUUUCCAGUGAGUCGGGGUCGACCUUCAAUCAGCUCCUCAUGGGGAGUGACUAGAAGGUAACCCUGAGAGGUUAUAACAAGCAGUUUUUAUACUUCUUAGAGGUACAGGUUACAUCA